rnacentral:rRNA from 1 species
UACGUAGGGUGCGAGCGUUGUCCGGAAUUAUUGGGCGUAAAGGGCUCGUAGGCGGUCUGUCGCGUCGGGAGUGAAAACUCAGGGCUUAACCCUGAGCCUGCUUCCGAUACGGGCAGACUGGAGGUAUGCAGGGGAGAACGGAAUUCCUGGUGUAGCGGUGAAAUGCGCAGAUAUCAGGAGGAACACCGGUGGCGAAGGCGGUUCUCUGGGACGGUACUGACGCUGAGACGCGAAAGCGUGGGGAGCGAACAGG